GGACCCGACUGCUAUCGGAUUGAGAUUUAGCCACGCGAGUCGAACGUCCCCCUGUUGCGGGGGGCGUGGCGUACGGCUCAGUAACACGUAGUCAACCUGCUCUGGAGACACGGACAACCCCGGGAAACUGGGACUAAUCCGUGAUAGGUCACCUCAUCUGGAAGGAGAGAUGGCCCAAAGGGGCGCGCGGGCUUCUUCUGCGCGUUCGCUCCAGGAUGGGACUGCGACCGAUCAGGCUGUUGGCGGGGUAAAGGCCCACCAAACCUGUAACCGGUACGGGCCUUGAGAGAGGUGGCCCGGAGAUGGACACUGAGAAAAGGGUCCAGGUCCUACGGGGCGCAGCAGGCGCGAAACCUUCGCAAUGCGCGAAAGCGUGACGAGGCUAGUCCGAGUGCUCCCUGCUAAAGGGAGCUUUUCUCGGCUGUAAAUAGGCCNGGGGAAUAAGGGGAGGGCAAGUCUGGUGU
rnacentral:rRNA from 1 species